GAUGAACGCUAGCGGCAGGCUUAACACAUGCAAGUCGAGGGGUAACAGUGUUUAGUUUACUAGACAGCUGACGACCGGCGCACGGGUGCGUAACGCGUAUACAAUUUGCCUUUUACUGGAGAAUAGCCCAGAGAAAUUUGGAUUAAUGCUCCAUAGUAUUGUUUAAUCGCAUGGUUUUACAAUUAAAGUUCCGGCGGUAAAAGAUGAGUAUGCGUCCUAUUAGCUAGUUGGUGAGGUAACGGCUCACCAAGGCGACGAUAGGUAGGGGUCCUGAGAGGGAGAUCCCCCACACUGGUACUGAGACACGGACCAGACUUCUACGGGAGGCAGCAGUGAGGAAUCUUAGACAAUGGGGGCAACCCUGAUCUAGCCAUGCCGCGUGAGUGAAGAA
rnacentral:rRNA from 1 species